rnacentral:rRNA from 1 species
GAUGAACGCUGGCGGCGUGCCUAAUACAUGCAAGUCGAGCGAACAGACGAGGAGCUUGCUCCUCUGACGUUAGCGGCGGACGGGUGAGUAACACGUGGAUAACCUACCUAUAAGACUGGGAUAACUUCGGGAAACCGGAGCUAAUACCGGAUAAUAUAUUGAACCGCAUGGUUCAAUAGUGAAAGACGGUUUUGCUGUCACUUAUAGAUGGAUCCGCGCCGCAUUAGCUAGUUGGUAAGGUAACGGCUUACCAAGGCAACGAUGCGUAGCCGACCUGAGAGGGUGAUCGGCCACACUGGAACUGAGGCACGGUCCAGACUCCUACGGGAGGCAGCAGUAGGGAAUCUUCCGCAAUGGGCGAAAGCCUGACGGAGCAACGCCGCGUGAGUGAUGAAGGCCUUCGGAUCGUAAAACUCUGUUAUUAGGGAAGAACAAAUGUGUAAGUAACUAUGCACGUCUUGGCGGUACCUAAUCAGAAAGCCACGGCUAACUACGUG